CUCACCAGCUCACCUCCACUCCAUCGGCACUGCCACCACCGCGCCACCUCCUCCUCUUCUUCUUCCUUUCUUUUCUUUUGUUCCUUUCCUUUCUUUCUUUCUUCCUUUCCUCUUCAUUGCGCCUGCGUUUUUGGCGAGACAGCAGCAGAUUGCGCGACACCUCUAGUCGAUCGGGCCUCCUCGCGCGCCACCUCGCUGCAGCUUGACGUCGCAGCAGCUCUGCCAGUAGCUCCGCCCUCUGUUACGCCAGUUGCAGCUGCACACAGUUCCAGCGCAACACCAGACCGCGCCACCGCUUGCUCCACCACCAGAUCGCGCCAUCGCCUAGCCCUGCCGCCACUCCAGCGUGCCUCCGACCACCAGGAACGAGCCUGUCCAGCUUCUUCGCGUCAUCUCCGCCUGCCUUUGCCAUUGUCAGUCGGACCCGGCCACUUCCGGCGCGCGUAGCUCCGAUCCAGCGCGAGCAAACUCCCGAUCUAGCAACAAAUUCGAGAAAAGAUUAUAUUUUGGGAUCGCCCGGGUCCAUCUAGUGCUCCUCCAGGACAGAAUCAAAGCUAGAACUUCGCUCUCCACCACUGUACUAGGAAGCAGCUGAUUCGGCUGAAGCUCUGCAAUCUUCUCUGCAGAGUUACAAAUGUAAACUUUAUAUUCAUGUUAUUUAAUUUUGGAUGUAUAAAUUAUUCUGUUAUCAGAUUAUUUUUGGACUCCGCAUUAUAGGGUUGUGUAUUAAUAUUGGACUUAUUGUUAGCACUACACUAUAAAUUAAAUGUUAUGUAAUUAGCUGCAGGUGAACCAGUAAACCCAUAACGUGAUUAUAAUUUAUUGUGAAUAGGCCCUGGUUAUACAUUAUGUGUUA